rnacentral:rRNA from 1 species
CGCGUAGGCGGUUUAUGCAGUCAGAUGUGAAAGCCUUCGGCUUAACCGGAGAAGUGCAUCGGAAACUGGAUAACUUGAGUGCAGAAGAGGGUAGUGGAACUCCAUGUGUAGCGGUGGAAUGCGUAGAUAUAUGGAAGAACACCAGUGGCGAAGGCGGCUACCUGGUCUGCAACUGACGCUGAGACUCGAAAGCAUGGGUAGCGAACA